rnacentral:rRNA from 1 species
AAUUAAUUUUAUUAAUAUAUUUAUUUUUUUUUAGAUUUUUUAUAAAAGUAAUUUAUUUUUUUUAAAGUUUUAGUAUUAAGUAAAAAUUAAUUUAUAGAUUUAUAGUUUAAUAGUAUUGUAAAAGAAUUAUUUAAAUUUUUAAAAGAAUAUUUUUAGUACCUUUUGUAUCAGGGUUAAUUAAAAUUUUUAAUUUUUUUUUAAUUUCUCAAAAUUUAUAGAGUUAAUUUUAUUAUUAAUUUAUUGUUUUAUAAAUAUUUAUAAAAUAAUAUUAGUUUUGAAAUUUAAUUCGUUAUAUUAUAUUUAGUUAUUUAAGAUUUAAAUUUAAUUUAAAAUUUUAAAAGUUAUUUUGAUUUUAUAUAUUAAUAUUUUAAAUUUAAAUUAUUUUAGGGAUAAGCUUAAAAUUUUUAUAUAAUAAUUUAUUUAUUUUAAUAAUUUAUAGGAAUAGAAAUUUUUAUUUUAAGUUUGUAAAAAUUUAUUAUUUAUUUAUUUUUAAUUUAUUAUAAAUUUAUUUAUUUUUUUUAUUAAAUUUUAUUAAUUAAUAUUUAAUUUUUAGUAAUAAUGAUUAAAUUAGUAUAAUUUAUAUUUAUAAAUUAUGAAUUCGGCAAAAAUUAUUUUCAUCUGUUUAACAAAAACAUUGUAUUAAGUUUAAUUUAAUAUAGGAUCUGCUCAAUGAUUUAUUAAAUAGCUGCAGUAUUUUGACUGUGCAAAGGUAGCAUAAUAAUUAGUCUUUUAAUUGAGGACUUGUAUGAAAGAUUUGAUGAGAAAUAAACUUUAUUAUUUAUAUAAUUAAAAUUUUAUUUUUAAGUAAAAAAGCUUAAAUUAUUUAAAGGGACGAUAAGACCCUAUAAAACUUUAUAAAUAUAAAUUUUAAUUUUUUUGGUUUAUAAAUAUUUUAAUUUUGUUAUUUAUUUUAUUGGGGUGAUAAAAAAAAUUAUUAAACUUUUUUUAAAAUUUUACAUUAUUUAGUGAGUAUUUGAAUUAAAAUUUUUAAUUAUAGGAAAAAGUUACUUUAGGGAUAACAGCGUAAUUAAUUUUUUAAGUUCAAAUUUAAAAAUUAGUUUGCGACCUCGAUGUUGAAUUAAGAUUAAUCUUAGGUGCAAAAUUUUAAGUAUUAGGUCUGUUCGACCUUUAAAUUCUUACAUGAUUUGAGUUCAAACCGGUGUAAGCCAGGUUGGUUUCUAUCUUUUAAUAAUUAAAUUAUUUUAGUACGAAAGGAUUAAAUAAUUAAAUUAAAUUUUUUAUUAAAUGAAUUAAAUUAAUUUA